CGCGUAGGUGGUUUUGUAUGUCUACCGUGAAAGCGUACGGCUCAACCGUAUUUUGUCGGUAGAAACUGCAGGACUUGAGGCUGGGAGGGGCUGGUGGAAUUCCCUGUGUAGCGGUGAAAUGCGUAGAGAGUGGGGAGAACACUCGUGGCGAAGGCGGCCAGCUAGACCAGUUCUGACACUGAGGCGCGACAGCGUGGGAGCAAACA
rnacentral:rRNA from 1 species